rnacentral:ncRNA from 2 species
CUCUUAUUCAGAACCACGAGAUGAGGAUCGAUGAAGUGGUGGCAACCCUUAGAAAAGAAGGUGCCUUUACCUAGCAAGUUUACUUGAACAAUAAGAG